CCUAUGAAGUAGGCUUCCGCAAGGACAUCUGUAGAGGUGCUGCAUGGCUGUCGUCAGCUCGUGUCGUGAGAUGUUGGGUUAAGUCCCGCAACGAGCGCAACCCUUGUCUUCUGUUGCCAUCGGGUUAUGCCGGGCACUCUGAAGAGACUGCCGGUGACAAACCGGAGGAAGGUGGGGAUGACGUCAAGUCAGCAUGGCCUUUAUGUCUGGGGCCACACACGUGCUACAAUGGCCGGUACAAACCGUCGCAAACUCGCAAGGGUGAGCUAAUCGGAGAAAGCCGGUCUCAGUUCGGAUUGUAGGCUGCAACUCGCCUGCAUGAAGUUGGAAUCGCUAGUAAUCGCGGAUCAGCACGCCGCGGUGAAUACGUUCCCGGGCCUUGUACACACCGCCCGUCACAUCACGAAAGCUGGCUGUACUAGAAGUCGCUGAGCGAACCCGCAAGGGACGCAGGUGCCUAAGGUAUGGUCAGUGAUUGGGGUGAAGUCGUAACAAGGUAACCGU
rnacentral:rRNA from 1 species